GGGUCAGUAGGUUGGUCGUGCCACCGGUACGUACUGGUCUCACUGAUUCCUCCUUCCUGAAGAACCGUAAUGCCAUUAAUUUGGUGUUGCGGGGAAACAGGACUGUUACUUUGAAAAAAUUAGAGUGUUUAAAGCAAGCUAACGCUUGAAUACAUUAGCAUGGAAUAAUGAAAUAGGACGAUCGAUCCUAUUUUGUUGGUUUCUAGGAUUGACGUAAUG
rnacentral:rRNA from 1 species